rnacentral:rRNA from 1 species
GACAGAGGUGGCAAGCGUUGUUCGGAAUUAUUGGGCGUAAAGCGCGUGUAGGCGGUUUUUUAAGUCUGAUGUGAAAGCCCCGGGCUCAACCUGGGAAGUGCAUUGGAAACUGGGAGACUUGAAUACGGGAGAGGGUAGUGGAAUUCCUGGUGUAGGAGUGAAAUCCGUAGAUAUCAGGAGGAACACCGGUGGCGAAGGCGGCUGCCUGGACCGAUAUUGACGCUGAGACGCGAAAGCGUGGGGAGCAAAC